CUCCCCUUCAUCCCACCAUCAGCAAGUAGAGAUGCUGGGCUCAGCUCCUGGCAAGGAUGAAGCAGAUUCCAAAGGUGCAUCUCCAUGGAAGUCUGUUCGCUUGGCUGUUCAAACAACGGCCAACUUUAAUACUAUUAAGGUAAGAUUCUAGGUUCUUAGUUUUAAUCUUUAAAUCUUCCCUCAACCAAUCCCACUAAAUCCUGCAUUGUGCCCUGUGAACCUGGAGAACUAACUCAUCGUGGUGGUCUUGUGCUCUUACCAUGGUCUCUUGUUCCCUAUGUCCUAUUACUGAACCAUCAACUGUGCGGUUGCAUCCCCCUCCCUUUGUUUCCAUUCAUGAGUCUGUGUCAACCAUUUGAAAUAACUCCUUUAUGUCUUCACGCCAUAUGUUUUGGUGGAGGUAAAACAGCCAUUCUAGAAUGCAUUAACGCUUCUUUUUCAGUUUGUGGCCGAUGCACCCACCCAAGUUUUCCAUAUUUGCUAACUGUCAUCACUUAUCCUAUGUGCUUUAAUGUUGUAGCCUUUCUGUUUAUGCCACUUACCCAUACUGUUGCUUUUGCUACUGAUGUGUAGAGCAAAGUAUGACGCAAAGGAUAUGGAACCAUUUAUGUGGCGCUUUGGAUAGUGGGUUGG